UAGUGUUUUUUUCUCUGUGAACUAGAUAAGGCUUCAAAAUAGUUAAAAAAUAUGAUUACCCAUUAGGGCAUAUUAGCUCUUGUCUCAAUUUCAAUUUCAGGUCCCAUGUCCAUGUUCAAUAAAACCUUAAUACAACCCAAUGUUUGGGAUAUUUUGUAAUCAUGCCAUAAAAAUAACAUAGUUAGUUCCUUAAAAAUCAGUAAGAAUCUAUAGUAAUGGGGUUUCGGAGUGAUAUUGAGGCGUGGGGCAAAAAUUUGCCAAGAAAGAAACCAUCCUCAAAAGGAAAAUCAUCAACCAAAACGUCCGGGACCGGGAAAACACCAUCAAAGGAUCCAUCCAAAAAUAACGCCAAAGCACCGUCUUCGAGUUCACCACCUAAGUCCCCAAAUAGUCUUUCUCCUAAAUCCUCGAAAUCUUCACCGUCCACUAAAACUUCAUCUAAAAUCGUUCAAGCAGCAGAAGACAUCCUGCACCAGGCACCACACGUCGUAGACCUCAACGGCAGACUCGAUGCUAACAAAAAUUACAACGUAUAAAAUCAGUAUGAUUUUUAGUCCAUUAGCAUGCAUCAAAGAAAAUAAAACCACUCUAAGUGUUUAUGAAUUCGCAUUGUACGGCUGGAAGAAGAUAGCACUCCAAAAGUAACUAAGGAACACUUAAAAUGGGAUCAGUAGUCAGUUAGUUGUCUGAUAAAAACCUAUGUAGGGAAUUAUAAUGUGAAGAGAGCUUUGUUGAAAUGGGUUGCUGCAAAAGAUUUAAAAAGUGGCUCUGUACUGAUAAAACGAAAAAAAAGAUAAAUCAAGAAAAUACUACAGCAGAAUUCACUACCGAAUCUGAAUCACUUUGUGAGUCUAUGAGACGAUCUUUCAGCGAUUUAAUAAAUUUAGCAACAACAGCUGUCGAAAAUACGACCAUUGUAAAACAACAUGAACAAGAAAAAACUCUAUCAUCCACUACAUCUACAGAAGACCAAUCAAAUGUACGCCCUGUUUUCCUUACAGACCGAAAUUUUUGCAUUAUAGGUGGUGCAUUAAUGACUUUAUUUGUAAUUUUUACAAUAUUUUUUAAUCGGUGCUUUGUCUCCUUUCGUUGCCGACGUCGCCCAUGAAUUUUUGAUCGGUAAUGGAUAAGUAUUUUCUAUCUAUCAGAUAGCUAACUUACCUACUUUUGAGUAUCGGCUAAUAAAACAAUUAUUUGUAUGCACCUAA